GGCGUAAAGGGCUCGUAGGUGGUUUGUCGCGUCGUCUGUGAAAUUCCGGGGCUUAACUCCGGGCGUGCAGGCGAUACGGGCAUAACUUGAGUACUGUAGGGGUAACUGGAAUUCCUGGUGUAGCGGUGAAAUGCGCAGAUAUCAGGAGGAACACCGAUGGCGAAGGCAGGUUACUGGGCAGUUACUGACGCUGAGGAGCGAAAGCAUGGGUAGCGAACAGGAUUAGAUACCCUGGUAGUCCAUGCCGUAAACGGUGGGCGCUAGGUGUGAGGGUCUUUUCACGACUUUCGUGCCGUAGCUAACGCAUUAAGCGCCCCGCCUGGGGAGUACGGCCGCAAGGCUAAAACUCAAAGGAAUUGACGGGGGCCCGCACAAGCGGCGGAGCAUGUGGAUUAAUUCGAUGCAACGUGAAGAACCUUACCUGGGCUUGACAUACACCGGAUCGGGCUAGAGAUAGUCUUUCCCUUUGUGGCUGGUGUACAGGUGGUGCAUGGUUGUCGUCAGCUCGUGUCGUGAGAUGUUGGGUUAAGUCCCGCAACGAGCGCAACCCUUGUCUUAUGUUGCCAGCAUUUGGUUGGGGACUCAUGAGAGACUGCCGGGGUCAACUCGGAGGAAGGU
rnacentral:rRNA from 1 species